AUUGAACGCUGGCGGCAGGCCUAACACAUGCAAGUCGGGCGAGAGGCGGACGGGUGAGUAAUGUAUGGGGAUCUGCCUGAUGGAGGGGGAUGACUACUGGAAACGGUAGCUAAUACCGCAAACCAUCAUAUGAACCCAUAUGGGAUUAGCUAGUAGGUGAGGUAAAGGCUCACCUAGGCGACGAUCCCUAGCUGGUCUGAGAGGAUGAUCAGCCACACUGGGACUGAGACACGGCCCAGACUCCUACGGGAGGCAGCAGUGGGGAAUAUUGCACAAUGGGCGCAAGCCUGAUACAGCCAUGCCGCGUGUAUGAAGAAGGCCUUCGGGUUGUAAAGUACUUUCAGUCGGGAGGCGUUACCGACAGAAGAAGCACCGGCUAACUCCGUGCCAGCAGCCGCGGUAAUUC
rnacentral:rRNA from 1 species